GUUUAGUAGUAUGCCCACAUCCGGCUCGUAAGCAUCUGCGGUGUUGUGGACCACAUCGCACGAUUUCCUUUGAUCGCCACGAGGUUGCAGCACAUUGCAGGAAGAAUAUUUACAUUUCGAGUUUUGUGUGUUCGAAGCCAAAUAUUAUCGAGUUCGUCACUUAUGAAAUUAAUCCUUUCGGUUUACGCGAAGGACUCGUAAGACGGAAGACCGCGUAAAUUGCUGUUCCAGAGACUGUUGAGUUGCCACGAUCUCUUAUGCAUAAUAACCGCAAGCCAUUUUCGUGAGAAAUAUUUUUUAUUCAUGAAAUAUCAAAUGCCAAUUUGAAGGGAAAAAACGACGUGGUGUGAUAGUACACAUUCUCAGCAAAAGAAGAAAUACAACUCGUGCGAUGAGUUGUUUUCUGUGUAUUUGUAUUUGACCACUCGUCUGCGUGUGAGCGGCUUUUUAAGCCAAGUUACUUAAGUGCCGCGAAUGGUAGAGUGUUUGCGUAAAACUGAACGUAAAAUAUAAACAUUACUAAUGCGAUUAGAAUACCUAUCGGUGGGAGCAAGACACUUCGUUUCGAUAAUUACGCUGCACGUUGUUUACAACGAAGAACUCCUUUGAAAUAUCUGGAAGGGUUACGAACACCUGAUAGACAACGGACCAAAUUUAGGAUAAACAAUCUCUACAGUAGUGUGUUCAGCAUAGAGAAAGCGAGAUGUUAGAUAUGAAUAUAGUGAAAAUAGUGAUAUAGUCCAAGUUUGCCAAUCAACAUCGAUUCUGCAGGAAUUGGCUUGGAAGUGUCUUAAUGUUAAUAUACAGCUUGGAAACAAAUAGAUUGCGAUAAGUGAGUUAGAUCGCCACUACUCAAUACGUGCAAAUAUUCGUUCUCUGUGCAACCAGACGGUAAUCCAGAUCGUGUGAUCAGAUUUCGAAACGAGAGUUCUCGGCAGUGAAAGACAGGGGAAUUGGAGAUGGAUUCGUUUGGCUCACCCUGGCCGGCCUCGCCACGUGAUGGGCUAGAAGCUCUUUCCAAUGAUGGCGUUCCGAUGGAUGCUUUAGCAGAGCUUCAGGAUGGAGCAUUUGAGCCUCAAACACGUGCCCGUUCCAAUACCUGGCCCUUGCCUCGGCCGGAAAACUGCGACGAGCCGGAAGUAGAAUCCGAAAGCAAUAAGUGUAGUAAUCAGCAGCUGGCAAGUGCGGGUGCCAAUGCAAAUCAACCGCAAUCAGUGUCAUCCACCACGAAGAAAAACUCAUCGCGUCGCAACGCUUGGGGUAACCUGUCGUACGCUGAUUUAAUUACACAAGCAAUUAGUUCAGCAGGUGAUAACCGACUAACGCUCAGCCAGAUCUAUGAAUGGAUGGUGCAGAAUGUGCCAUAUUUUAAAGAUAAGGGAGACUCCAACAGUAGCGCAGGAUGGAAGAAUUCAAUCAGACACAAUCUAUCACUGCACAAUCGAUUCAUGCGAGUACAAAACGAAGGAACCGGCAAGUCGUCCUGGUGGAUGUUGAACCCGGAUGCCAAACCUGGCAAGUCGGUGCGUCGAAGAGCCGCCUCGAUGGAGACGUCCAAGUACGAGAAAAGACGGGGCAGGGCCAGGAAACGGGUCGAGGCAAUUCGGCAACAGGCGGCUUUGGGUCUUGCAACUAAUCCACUGAAUGAUGCAACACCAUCACCCAGCAGUAGUAUAAGUGAAAAUCUAGACUCAUUUCCGGAAAGUCCCCUGCAUAGUGGUAACUUUCAACUGUCCCCUGAUUUUCGGCAACGUGCCUCGUCAAAUGCGAGCUCAUGUGGUCGUCUGAGCCCGAUACCAUCGAUAGUGGGUAUCGACACCACAUGGACAUAUCCGCCGGAACUAGCAGAACUUGCGGAUAAUCCUGAAACCGGCCAAACGGUAGAUUCGGAACUCAACGCACAAGGACAGGCCCAACUGGAUCAGUUAGCCGGAUCAUUGGCAGAUGAACUUACCCUUCAGCAGACUGAGUUCUUCAAAGGGUUUAACCAAGCAACGACGCUGCAUAGCCAACCACCUCCACCAUAUCAGCCACCACAACCGUACUCACUACACGCGACGGUGGCCCAGCCUUUCGGUUUCCAACAGCAGCAGAAUCUGUGCCCCAUCCAUCGUCUGCAACAGUGCACUUGUAUGCUACAAAACAAUACACGCGAGAGCAUGUCGCCGGCAUCUGGAACCGGAAUGUCGCCAUCGUAUCCUCAUAGUGAACCGUCUCCAGAUUAUGCAAUGCUUGUGGGGGCGCGUGUGAUACAGCGAACGCCAUCUACUAGUCCUCCAUUGACGCCCAACACCAUUUGCGGCAUGGUGACGACGCAUCAGAACGAUAAUACUCCGCAAACGUUAAUGGGUCAGUUCAUGGAAGCAUUGAAUAAUCAGACAAACAUAGACGACAUCAAUAUUAACCUGGAAUCGUUUCCUGGAGGGCUAGAGUGCAACGUUGAUGAAGUGAUAAAACACGAGCUUAGCAUGGAAGGAUCACUGGAUUUCAAUUUCCCAAUGUCAAAUCAUAGCACCUACACGCCGACCAAUAGUUCCAACUCACAGGACUCGACAAUCAGUGCAAUAGCCGCCACACCGAAUCAGGCGACAGCACCGCUUCCCCAUGGACAAUACACGGCACGAACAAGCGUCACACCACCCUCCUGGGUACACUGAGGGUGGCUGUGAAUUGGAGCGCACUUGAUGAAAUGAAAAAAAUUGACUAACUUUAGAUAAGUCCGCCUAGCAAUCGAUCCAUCUCGGUUCCGCAACGAGCAGGAACCACUUCUGCAAACAAGAUGUUUCACCAAUUGCUAGACCAAAAGCGCUCCAAUACGGCUCCAGGUGAACCAGAUGCAUGAUCAAAGUGGAACUUUUGAUGGGGAUAGUUGACUUUUCAUGCAGAUAAACCGAAUGUCGAACCGGAUUUACCCAAGCCACCAACGAAUAACCCACAUCGAAUGGGCUACAUAACAAUUCAUGAACUGCUAAUGCAGUAGUUUCUUCCAACGGCAAGCGCAAUUUCCGAUCAUGUACACAAUACCUUUAAUAGACGAUUAUUUGAUGUGAAAUUCUCUCUUGCAAAUAGCUGGUCCAGAAUUUGUUAAACAGCAGAAGGGUCUUUAUUUUCAGAAAUAUCACAUUUAGUUUGUUUUAGUGUGAUCUAACCCAGAAAUGCCUUGUUUUCUUCUUGCGCCCCGCAUGGAGGUACUUUGUACGGUAUAAAUAGUAAUACAAAUAGAAUAAAACAAUAACAGCUUUUCUAUCGAGUAAAUGCAGCGAAAAGAUUGUAGAUAACCGUUGAACAUAUAGCAAAAAUUGUAUAUGAUAGUAGUUUUCUGCACUAGGACUUGCUAAGACAAAUAAUGAAACAUAGAGCUGUUUUACGUUUAAGUUUUUCUGUUAUUUUGUUUACAUCAUUGCUUAUUAAACAUUUUUAAUCUGUUGUUAAAUUUUAUUAUAAGUCGUUAGGAUACUGUUCUACAACUAAUCAAAUUAUAGUGAUAUUACAUUUAGGCUCGGAGCAGAGUAAAUUUGCUUACUUCUUUCUGAGACACCCUGCAAGCGGGAAAGCGCAACAGGUGGUUCAUAAUUCUAGGCACGCCCUACCGCGCAAUUGAUAGUAUGGAACCCGAUGCUGUUAGUAGCGAACGCACAAACCUAUUCUCCGCUUCUUAUGUUUUUAUCUCCAAGUUGUGUUGUCGGUGUUAGCUUUUCGGCACAAACCAAAAGGACGCCAUCUUUCGUUCAAUGCAGAUUUGCUGACUCUUCGAGGAAAACUUCUGGAAAUGAAAGCAUAACAGGAUUAAGAAACAAUAAAUAGAUGAUACAUAUUUUAGGGUUCUGCUGUACGUUACUGUAGUAUAACCAGUGCCAUUUGAAGAAUCUUGUAAGAAUUUCAAUCAACGCUAUAACCCUCCCCGGAAUAAAAAAAUAGGGCUCCGUCAAACAGUUACAUGUAAAUACAAACGAAUCGCUAACAAUUUGUACAUAUAGUUACCAAAUAUAAUUCGUAGUAAAUCUAAGACGGCUAGCCUAUCCCUAAUCUAAGUGAUAGUUUAUCAAUUAUUGUUAUGAAAAGCAGUUUUCAUUUGUUUUCGUUUGAAUGCAUCGAGUUAAGAUUCUCUGAGUAUGAAAGGAUGAAAUUACUAGAAUAAACCAAUUUGGCGAUAACAUUUUUUAAUUAAUUCAAUGUACAUAUUACGAUAACAUGAGUGGCAACAUUUAAUUGUAAUCUACUGUCUAAUGAAAAUAAGGUUAGAAAAGGAAAUAAGCAUAUUAAAAGUAGCAACCUUACUAUCAUAGGCACUUAACAAUAAGAAACAAUAAGCGAAUAACAGUCGAUAUGCAUCAGAACAGAAAUUAUAUUUCACACACACACACAUAAACACUUAUCCGAUACCUUCGAAAUUAGUAAAACAAAUUGAUCUUCAAUGACCAGUGAAUAUCGUGGAAAUGAAUGUGUUCGUUAAAUUAAUUUUUAAUUCCAUUUCUAUUUACUUUUGUAUUCCUUUUCCAAUACCAGUCACUGUGGUAAAAGGAACACUGCUGAAGUGAGAAAUGCUAAUGAAAAGUGAUUAUAAAUAGAAAGUUGAAAACGAACGUGCUAAUAAUUGAAAGAAUGAAAUCGCUAAAGCUAAUUUGUGGGAAAAAAUUGUUACUUCGUACAAAUUAAUUUAUACUGCAGGAAAUGGAUAAUACUUUAAGUGCAAAACAUUAACUUUGGGUUGUUGAAACAAAUUGGAUCAAUAAGAACAA